GCUCGGGUGGUGGAAUGGUAGACACAAGGGACUUAAAAUCCCUCGGAAGCAAUUCCGUGCCGGUUCGAGUCCGGCUCCGAGCA
rnacentral:tRNA from 1 species